rnacentral:rRNA from 1 species
ACUCUUCGGAGGGAAGUGAAGGGAAUGAGCGGCGGACGGGUGAGUAACACGUAAGGAACCUGCCCCAAGGAUUGGGAUAACUCCGAGAAAUCGGAGCUAAUACCGAAUAGUUCUUCAGACCGCAUGGUCUGAUGAUGAAAGGCGCUCCGGCGUCACCUUGGGAUGGCCUUGCGGUGCAUUAGCUAGUUGGUGGGGUAACGGCCCACCAAGGCGACGAUGCAUAGCCGACCUGAGAGGGUGAUCGGCCACACUGGGACUGAGACACGGCCCAGACUCCUACGGGAGGCAGCAGUAGGGAAUCUUCCACAAUGGACGAAAGUCUGAUGGAGCAACGCCGCGUGAGUGAUGAAGGUUUUCGGAUCGUAAAACUCUGUUGUAAGGGAAGAACAAGUACGAGAGGAAAUGCUCGUACCUUGACGGUACCUUGCGAGAAAGCCACGGCUAACUACGUGCCAGCAGCCGCGGUAAUACGUAGGUGGCAAGCGUUGUCCGGAAUUAUUGGGCGUAAAGCGCGCGCAGGCGGCCUUUUAAGUCUGAUGUGAAAGCCCCCGGCUCAACCGGGGAGGGUCAUUGGAAACUGGAAGGCUUGAGUACAGAAGAGAAGAGUGGAAUUCCAUGUGUAGCGGUGAAAUGCGUAGAGAUGUGGAGGAACACCAGUGGCGAAGGCGACUCUUUGGUCUGUAACUGACGCUGAGGCGCGAAAGCGUGGGGAGCAAACAGGAUUAGAUACCCUGGUAGUCCACGCCGU